rnacentral:rRNA from 1 species
UUGGACAGAAAGACCCUAUGAAGCUUGACUGUAGCUUGGAAUUGGGUUCGGGCUCUUCUUGCGCAGCCUAGGUGGGAGGCAUUGAAUGUGAACUUUUGGGUUCACUGGAGCCAUACGUGAGAGACCACUCUGGAAGAGCUAGAAUUCUAAUGGCGUUCCUUGAAGCAGGACGCUUGACAGUUUCAGGUGGGCAGUUUGACUGGGGCGGUCAUCUCCUAAAAGGUAACGGAGAUGUGCAAAGGUUCCCUCAGGCUGGACGGAAAUCAGCCGUAGAGUGUAAAGGCAGAAGGGAGCUUGACUGCAAGACCUACAAGUCGAGCAGGGGCGAAAGCCGGCCUUAGUGAUCCGACGGUUCCGUGUGGAAGGGCCGUCGCUCAACGGAUAAAAGUU